rfam:Danio rerio chromosome 4, GRCz11 reference primary assembly.
GACGCUGUGGUCUAGUUGGUUAAAGUGCUUAUCUAAUAAACAGGAGUUCCUGGGUUUGAAUCCCAGCAGUGCCU